GAGAGUAAAACACUUUUAAAGUUAACAUGUAAUGAUGCAUUUACCAGUUCUGGGGAUAAAAUACAAGACCUCACAAAUUGUAGCCAAUCACUCUCCCGCCAAGCUAUAGCCCUGGCGUUGGCUUAGUCAGUAGGCUAGGUAGUCCUGAAACAGGGUCUCCCUGUGCUCCCCGAGCUGUCUCUGAACUCAUGAUCCUCUUGCUUCACCCUUCCCCUCCCCCACAAGCUCUGGGUUACACUACAAUUUCUAACCCAUAGGUUCUCAGCAGUUAGGCCUGAAGGUUUGUGCUGAUGGCACCCAGUAAGCAUCCUGUCACAUGCUUUCAGCUGAAUUAUGUAUAUCCAAAUUCAUCUAAACCCCGCUCCACCCCCUCAGCACCUGUGCGUGUGAUGGAAACUGGAGUAAGGUCUUCAGGGGAGAAAUCAAGUUAAAGCGAGAUCAUUUAAUGAGUGGGCCCUGGCACUGCUAUCAUUGAGGUCUGAAGACAAAGAAAUCUAGGGAGGAAGUCACAGGAUCAACGGAGAGACAAGUUGGAGUGAAGAAAUCUCGAGUGAAGGUCAAUCAUACAUUGCCAGCAAACAGAAAUAACAGGGAGUGGGCGGGAAUUGUUGCUCAGAUCAUUGAGAAUGAGCCUGGCUCUCCAGACACACUGACUGGAUGACCCACCAGCUUCCAGAGCGUGGAGAAGACGUUCUCUGCUGUGGAAGCUGUUUGAUUUGUGGUAUUUGCUCACAGUGACCCUAGGAAAUUACAUCACCCACGUCAUCCAAAAGGAGGAAGGUUUGUUCUGGUUCAUAGUUUACAGGAUUUUGUUUUGAGGUUAAAUGGCUUCAUUGCUUCUGGGCAGGACCAUGGGGAUCAUGGAUGGAGCAACACAGUUCACCUUGUAACAACUGGGAAGCCGGGAAAGAGCAAAGGACAAGCCUCCUUCUCCAUAUCACCAUCUUCAAAGAAAGGAAGCGGCCAGCAAUCUAUUUCCCACAUGGGCAUCAAUUACUACAGUCAGAGACCUUUACAAGGACAAGGUCUCCACGACUACUUCAGACACGGACAUGUGUCCCAUGUUUCCCUUCAAAGGUUGAUGCCUCUUGUGCGUCUCUGACACAAGGCACCAGGUGUGUCCAGUCUGGUAGUUCACAGAGAACUCCACCACAUGUUAUGCCCUCAUAUGUAAUGGAACCCAAAAUUGUUACUGUUCUCUACUGAGGAGGAAGUAUUAUCCACCUCUCAUAGCAGUUACUCUCUCCAUUUGACUGAGGUACUCAUAUGGGCAGUACCUAUCCAUGGAUGAGUUUGCAUUUGGUGUAUCCAAUCUUCAAGAUAGUCUGGUCCUUCUUUGCAUACAAAUUGCACACUGGUGAUCCUCCUGCUUCUGCCUCCUCCAGCAAAUCCUGUGCACCACCUUGAGUUCCAAACAAGAUAAGUGUUGACUUUAGAGUGUAUCCAUGCAGUCUUUGGAUUGUUUGUUUGUUUGUUUGUUUGUUUUUCUAUUGGCUAUUUUAUUUAU